UGUUUCGGCAAGGGGGUCAUCCCGACUUACCAACCCGAUGCAAACUGCGAAUACCGGAGAAUGUUAUCACGGGAGACACACGGCGGGUGCUAACGUCCGUCGUGAAGAGGGAAACAACCCAGACCGCCAGCUAAGGUCCCAAAGUCAUGGUUAAGUGGGAAACGAUGUGGGAAGGCCCAGACAGCCAGGAUGUUGGCUUAGAAGCAGCCAUCAUUUAAAGAAAGCGUAAUAGCUCACUGGUCGAGUCGGCCUGCGCGGAAGAUGUAACGGGGCUAAACCAUGCACCGAAGCUGCGGCAGCGACGCUUAUGCGUUGUUGGGUAGGGGAGCGUUCUGUAAGCCUGUGAAGGUGUGCUGUGAGGCAUGCUGGAGGUAUCAGAAGUGCGAAUGCUGACAUAAGUAACGAUAAAGCGGGUGAAAAGCCCGCUCGCCGGAAGACCAAGGGUUCCUGUCCAACGUUAAUCGGGGCAGGGUGAGUCGACCCCUAAGGCGAGGCCGAAAGGCGUAGUCGAUGGGAAACAGGUUAAUAUUCCUGUACUUGGUGUUACUGCGAAGGGGGGACGGAGAAGGCUAUGUUGGCCGGGCGACGGUUGUCCCGGUUUAAGCGUGUAGGCUGGUUUUCCAGGCAAAUCCGGAAAAUCAAGGCUGAGGCGUGAUGACGAGGCACUACGGU
rnacentral:rRNA from 1 species